rnacentral:rRNA from 1 species
UACGAAGGGGGCUAGCGUUGUUCGGCAUUACUGGGCGUAAAGCGCACGUAGGCGGACUCUUAAGUCAGGGGUGAAAUCCCGGGGCUCAACCUCGGAACUGCCUUUGAUACUGUGAGUCUCGAGACCGGAAGAGGUGAGUGGAAUUCCUAGUGUAGAGGUGAAAUUCGUAGAUAUUAGGAAGAACACCAGUGGCGAAGGCGGCUCACUGGUACGGUUCUGACGCUGAGUUGCGAAAGCGUGGGGAGCAAACAGG